rnacentral:lncRNA from 1 species
UUCUUUCCCGUUUCUAUCAUGUCUGCGUCCGUAUGAGAGGGAGAGCUGUCCUCAAAGUUAGUACCUUGUCUAGGAGAUUUCGGAGCAUGGUUGUUGCGACCCAGGCUUUGCAUAUAGCUGGGAGAGGUUGCCGGAUUGUGAGUCAUCCUCCCUCCCCCCCACCAACCCCAUUCGAGAAAUUCCAUGAUAACACACCAAAGAAGUAGAAUUUACCAUUCCUUCCCUUCAUCUGGAGUCAUCUGAAGUUGAACAGCCCUUCUGGUGGGGGGGGGGCAUUUUUGCUGUGAUAAAUUUGUCUUUGUGACAAACUCCACUGACCUCCAGGUGGAGCUGCAUGAAAGAGAGACAGAAGGGGAAAGAGGAAAACAACCAGGUUGGUGCCCGGAAGAAGCAGAUAGCAGGAGAAAGACACAAAAUACCAAGAUGGUGCACGGUCCUUCAUGGAUUUGCAGGGAAGAGAGUGACGUGUGAACUGAUUCAGCCAGUGACAUUCCACAGGAAUUUGGAGAGACGGCCCAUGGGCUCAGCCAGCCCGGGGUGGGAUGCGAGAGGAAGGAGACACGGUCUAAGGAGCUGGCCGUCUAGGUGGCAGUCUUUGGGAUGGCACCUCACAGACAGCCAAAGACCAACUACGCUCCAUGGUGAACUGCGAUGCAGCCCAAGACGUGGUUUCACAGGUAAGAAGGUGGCAGUGUCUCAUUUCACCUCCAUCUAAGCACCAGUGUCAAGAACUAUUCCUCUCUGGCUUGAUAUUUGUAUUUUGGGGGGAAAAAAAACAAAAGGCAUGAAGAACAAAGUCGGGAAAGGAGGUUAAGAACAUGUCGCUCCAGACCCCGGGAGCAGUCACAUCAAGCUGCCAGCUGCAACAAGAAUCUCUCUAAUAAGGAAAUUAGAGCGUGAUCAUUUCUGGCUCUGUGACUCUGAUUCUAAAUAGGUUUUACAAAUAGAUUGUGAUUGAACUUGGAAACAUAAACAAAUUGGCUUUGCGGAAUAAAGGCUGAACUACAUUUUGG